rnacentral:rRNA from 1 species
AACGCGAAGAACCUUACCAAGGUUUGACAUGGACCGAAAACUCAUGGAGACAUGGGGUCCUUCGGGGCGGUUCACAGGUGGUGCAUGGCUGUCGUCAGCUCGUGUCGUGAGAUGUUGGGUUAAGUCCCGCAACGAGCGCAACCCUCGUCCAAUGUUGCCAGCGGGUUAUGCCGGGGACUCAUUGGAGACUGCCGGGGUCAACUCGGAGGAAGGUGGGGAUGACGUCAAGUCAUCAUGCCCCUUAUGUCUUGGGCUGCAAACAUGCUACAAUGGCCGGUACAGAGGGCUGCGAACCUGUGAGGGUAAGCGAAUCCCGGAAAGCCGGUCUCAGUUCGGAUCGGGGUCUGCAACUCGGCCCCGUGAAGCCGGAGUCGCUAGUAAUCGCGGAUCAGCAACGCCGCGGUGAAUACGUUCCCGGGCCUUGUACACACCGAGACGUA